CUGUGUGUCCUGGGUGCCGGGAGCCAGGACACGGCACCGUGAUGGGACGGGCGGAAGGAUUUCAGGGAGAGGGCUGCGGCGUGGCGGCGGCGGCGGCGCGCGUUCGGUGAUUGCACCGCGCGCGGCUGAGGUGAUCUCUGCUUAUGUGGCGUCAGCGGGGCGGGUGGCUGGGGCGCCGCCCCCUGCCUGGGCGCUCGAGGGCGCCGCACCUGAACCCUUUGGAGGGCAGCGUCCUGGGCUUUCGGAAAGUUCCAAAUAUCAUCCGCCAUAAAGGGAGAUUGUGAAAGACGCCUUCUACGCCCUGAAGGUUGGGACGCUGAGGCCGCCGUGACCUGUUUGAGGCAAUACCAAGAACGCCUCUUAUUCUGGCUGUUCAGGGCCAGACAGAUUUUGAAACGGAAGUUCGGCCCUCCUGUUACACGCACCCUGAGCUCAUCCACUCUUGUGGCUUCAAAUAAACAUGGAUGUAAAAUGACCGCCAAGUGGAAGCCUCCUGUUAGUUAACUGUCACCAGCCCCUGGCCAGAUUCAUUGCUUUAUGCAGUCAUCGUUAAGAGCUGGGUGCCAUGCCUGGCCCUGGGAAUACAGCAGUGAAUGAGAAAACUGCGAGGCCCAGUGGAAGGAGCAGUGAGCAACCAGUUGCCUGUUUUGACUCCUCUGGAGAUCUGAUGCUGGUAUCAGAUGAGUAACGCCAAGUAAACUCAUAAAUCUUCACUCACCUGGCUGCCAGCCCGCUCCUCCGUACUGCGUCUGUAGGAGGGGCACCGGUGGCCACCAAACUGCCCUCCUGCGCUGCGCAUCACAGCUCAUCAGUCACCAAGUCCUGUAAUUCCACCACCUUAAAGGUUGCUCCAUUCUUGCCACUGCCUUGAGUCCGGCCCUGGGCAGGCCAACUGCAGUCAUAGGCCAACUGGACCCUAGUCCUUGUCUUUGAUCUACCGUCCACAAAGGCUACCGUUUCUCCUGUCACUAAAGCUGUGCUGCAGUUGACUUCAUCAGUUUCCUCUGUUACCAGAUGAACUUAAGAAUAGGGACCAUGUGUUACCUGUUCUUAUAUUCUGCAUUUAUUCUGAUUCAUAGCUGUUCACAAAGUGUGGUUCAUGGCCUUCUGGGUAUCCCCAGGACCCCAGGGGUGUCUGCAAAGUCAAAGCUCUUUAUAAUAAUACGUGAUUUACUUUUUCACUGUUGGAAUUUGCAGUGAUGGUGUCAAAUCAGUAGCAAAUGGAAUUUCUGGGGGCCUUAGCACAAACCGAUGGUAAGCGGCACCAAACCCUAGUAGUCGUUAUUCUUCACUGCCAUGCACUUGUAGUAGAAAAACAUUGCUUGCUUCACUUAAUAAUGUUGUGGAUGAAAUUAUAAGUAUUCCUUUUUAAAAGGGUAUUUUAAAGCAAGAAUACUGAAGUGGGUUGCCAUUUCUUCCUCCAGGGGAUCUUCCUGACCCAGGGAUUGAACCUGUGUCCUGUAUCUCCUGCAUUAGCAGGCACAUUCUUUACCCACUGAGCCACCUGGAAAGCCCCAGCUCCUUUUUCUGUGGAAUGGCAUUUGUGCUUGAAAGAACAAGUGGCAGACUUUGGUCAUUCAGAGUUGGGUAUUUGACAGAUGUUUUCUUGAAAAUGAAGUCAGCCUCUCCUUUCAAGGAAAACCACUGGCAGUAUUUGUUGUCAAUGAUAAAGUGUCCAAAUAAAAAUUAAGAAUUUUAGAAAACUUAUAUCGGCCUAUAUGAACUUGACAACUUACCAAUUCUUGAGACUUCUCUAUAGAGGAAAUUUAGUAACAAGUGCUGUUUGUGUAGUAAAAUGUGUCUACAUAUUGAAUCUUUGUAUAAUUACAAGAGCCCAUAUUUUCAAAUGUCCAGUACGUAAUGUUGCAAGAUCACGCAUGUGUGAAACAGCCAUUCAAAGUACAAGGGAAGGCCCUCUCUUCACUGACCUAGCACGGUGCCCAGAACUGCCCUCAUUCUUGUCAUGCCCCAGCAAAAUGCAUAGGAGUGUAAGAGACACACGGAGGAGUGUCUCCCAACAAUGCCUGCCCUUCUUUAUAUAGCUCUUUGUUAUGGACUGAAUGUUUACCUACCCCCAGAAUUCUUAUGUUGAAGGCCCCAACCCCUAAUGUGACUGUUUUUGGAGAUAAGACCUGUGAGGCAGAGAUAAUGGUUAAAUUAGAUUAUAAGGUUGGGACCCUAAUCUGAUAGAGCUGAUGUCCUUAUAAGAAGAUGAAGAGAUGCCAUCUGCUUGCUCUCUCCAUAAUGCGAGGACACCGUGGAAGGACACAUCUGCAAGCCAGGAAGAGAGUUUCAUCAGGAACCAGAUCACCCUGUGUCUUGAUCCUGAGCUUCCUGGCCUCCAGAACUGUGAGAAAUAAAUUUCUGUUGUUACACCCAA